rnacentral:rRNA from 1 species
GACGAACGCUGGCGGCGUGCUUAACACAUGCAAGUCGAGCGGAAAGGCCCCUUGUGGGUACUCGAGCGGCGAACGGGAGAGUAACACGUGAGUAAUCUGCCCUUCACUUCAGGAUAGCUCCCGGAAACGGGGAUUAAUACUGGAUAUGACACAUUCUCGCAUGUGGGUGUGUGGAAAGUUUUUUCGGUGGGGGAUGUGGUCGCGGCCUAUCAGCUUGAUGGGGGGGUAAUGGCCUACCAUGGCUGCGACGGGUAGCCGGCCUGAGAGGGUGACCGGUCACACUGGGACUGAGACACGGCCCGGACGCCUACGGGAGGCAGCAGUGGGGAAUAUUGGACAAUGGGCGGAAGCCUGAUCCAGCAACGCCGCGUGAGGGAUGACGGCCUUCGGGUUGUAAACCUCUUUCAGCACAGACGAAGCGCAAGUGACGGUAUGUGCAGAAGAAGGACCGGCCAACUACGUGCCAGCCGCCGCCGUAAUAC